rnacentral:rRNA from 1 species
UACGUAGGGUGCAAGCGUUAAUCGGAAUUACUGGGCGUAAAGCGUGCGCAGGCGGUUAUAUAAGACAGUUGUGAAAUCCCCGGGCUCAACCUGGGAACUGCAUCUGUGACUGUAUAGCUAGAGUACGGUAGAGGGGGAUGGAAUUCCGCGUGUAGCAGUGAAAUGCGUAGAUAUGCGGAGGAACACCGAUGGCGAAGGCAAUCCCCUGGACCUGUACUGACGCUCAUGCACGAAAGCCAGGGGAGCAAACGGG